rnacentral:tRNA from 1 species
CUUUUGGGGGUUCAGUGGUAGAAUUCUCACCUUCCAAGUGGGAGACCUAGGUUCAAUUCCUGGCCAAUGCA